rnacentral:rRNA from 1 species
GACAUAGGUGGCGAACGUUAUCCGGAUUUAUUGGGCGUAAAGGAUGCGUAGCUGGUAGGGUAGUUAUCGGUCGAAGUCGGGCUCAACUCGAUGGAGGCUAAUAAUACUACUUUGCUGGAGGGCAGGAAAGGUUAACGGAACUCUAUGCGUAGGGGUGAAAUCCAUUGAUCUAUAGAGGACCACCAAAAAGGGCGAAGGCAGUUAACUAUUUUGCUCCUGACAUUGAGGCAUGAAAGCGUGGGGAGCAAAACGG